AUCCUUUUGUAGUUCAUAAGCAUGAUGAAUUAGGUUUUCACAUGCACACAUGAGCUGUGCCUCUCUCCAACCCUGUUUAUGAAGUGAGCACCAUUACUCAUCUGAUG
rnacentral:snoRNA from 1 species